CGUGUCUGAUGUGAUGAAGAACAUGUUGGUAGGGACAUCUGAGACCUCUGAGGAAACGCCAACUUUACUGACAAGACAUG
ensembl:snoRNA